GGGAAUGUGGCUUAGUGGUAGAGUGCUUGCCUAGCAUGCAUGAAGCCUUGGGUUUGAUGUUUAAGUAUUACCU
rnacentral:tRNA from 1 species